AUCUAUGGAUUCACAGAAAUAGAAUUUGAACAAAGAUAAAAUUUUACAUUCUAUUCAUAUUUAAAAGAACUAAAUGUUGAACUAGAACUUAUGACCUUUUGCUGAUUGCUGAAAAGUAAAUUUACAACAAAAAUUGAUGAAAAUAACAUAAAAAUGAAUGAUUGCACCUCUUCAAGUUCUACAGAAUUUAUUAAAUGAAGGAAUGUGCUUCAGAAUUGCUGACUGCAUGUCGCUGCAACAUCUGUGCUACAAAGUUUGACUGUUUAAAAUAUUGUAAUUCUAAACGAAAUUUUG